rnacentral:rRNA from 1 species
UACGUAGGGGGCGAGCGUUGUCCGGAAUCAUUGGGCGUAAAGCGCGUGUAGGCGGCCCGGUAAGUCCGCUGUGAAAGUCCAGGGCUCAACCCUGGGAUGCCGGUGGAUACUGUCGGGCUCGAGUCCGGAAGAGGCGACUGGAAUUCCUGGUGUAGCGGUGAAAUGCGCAGAUAUCAGGAGGAACACCGGUGGCGAAGGCGGGUCUCUGGGCCGAUACUGACGCUGAGGAGCGAAAGCGUGGGGAGCGAACAGG